UUAAUGUAAUGAUAUGGAUAUUCUCGUGUUUACGUUUUCCUCAAAGGUUCAUUGACGUACAUGUACAAGGCAAAUUCCUGGUAGAUUUCGCUAGAACUAUGUUUACAAACAUACAUGGUGAAUUCCUUGUAUGCUAUUUUUAACACCUGUUCCGAGACGUUGCGCUCUUAAUUUUGGCUCUACUUUUUCGGCUUGGCCGAUUGGAUUAGGUGUCGCUGGGCGUGUCGCCACAGUUGACUUAAAUUUAAUUAGGCAAAUUUAGGAAAUAGAUUUGUAUUACAAUUGGAAGGGUUUUUCCUUGUUGCCGGGUCUGUUCACACUAUCGAAAUAGUAUGAGAGGGGAAGUGAGGAUUACAGGUGUGUAAUAGCCAGAAGCAUGUGGGCUCGCUAGUGUGGACGGACAUAGCAACAUUUAUCCCUUGUUAUAUUCCAGGGUUGUUGGGUCUCCGGGUGAUUUGCAUCUCUUGUUUGAGAGAUUAGAAUGUAAGAGACACAGGUGGGUGCGUGAAAGAAGUAUGUGAGGAAUAGAGAUGCGGAUCAUCCGGAGCGCCUUAUAUCCGAGGGGGGUAAAUUCGCCAAGAAAUAUAGGACCUUUUAAUACGGAAACUAAUUAUAAGUGGAUUGAUAUUACGCAAAGCGUCUGUGUGACACGCCUCAAUUUUUGGAAGGACGAGGCGUGUCAGUUCGGGGGAUAAAAACCGAGUUGCGUCUCUGGAGCGGGACCUCUCUUCCGUUACGAUCGACAUGAGUUGCUAAUCUGUUUCGAUUGGGUUGCCCAGCCCCAAAACAUGAACUUCGUGAUUUAUUAAUUCUUCGUUUAUUUUAAUAAAUCUUCAACUCCAAUCAA